CUGUUUUUAAAUAUCUGUUCAGUUCCACUGGUACUUACUCCAUGGAGCUGUUGAUUUCUGUAUUGACUGUACAGACAGGAUCUGCCCAACUCUGUGUGCCCGUGAAGCACACGGUGGGACUUCCAGAUUGCACACACUCACAUCACGCAGGACGCGGGGCUGCAGGAACACAUCCCUCUGACGCACGAUGGCAGAACAGAAGAAGAUACUGCUGAGGCAGGACAUGGGGGUGGGGAGGUGAGGAAAUAAAGCAAACAAUGUUGAACUGCCUGACAUCUUAAAUGAAAGAAAAAACUGUCAGCCUGUGGGAAGUCACGAUUUAGUGUUGCAGCUCCUUGACAGGGUAUGACAAUUUAGGAUCAUCUGCAUAAAUCUAAGAUAUUGCUGAUAGCAGAAGUGGCUGAACUUGCUCAAACUUCCAAAGAAACUGAAUUGAAGUCGAGGGAGAGAAAUAGAGCAGGACGAAUAGGAGGGUGCCAGGCUGAUCACUACAACUGUUUAAAAUAGAAAAGCAGAUGGAACAAAUAGAAAGAUUUACCACACAGCUUGAUCUCUCCCCCUGAAGCAGCCAUUCAUCAUCAGCACCGCUGAGACAAACUGCGAAACAAGUUUCCCUUUGUGGCUGUGAUUGGGCUUGGAGAGGUGGCAGAGCUGCACGACAGCCUCAGGAUUGGCUGGGCGAGAACACACCUCUGGAGUCUGUUUAUUUCCCAAAAAUAAGAUAAAAUCUCUUAUAUUUCGCCUGGAGAUCUUUUAUCUUGCAUUUAAUAUCCAAAUAAACUAGAGCAAACACAGUUAACCUCUUUGGAACGGCUGUAGUACUUUAGAUGAGUGGAAUGAAUUCAGGUUUUGGGGGUUUUGUUUGUUGGGUUGUUUUUUUUUCUUUCUUAUUUUCUCCUGAGUACAAUGAGGCCUGUGUGAGUUGUCUAGAUCUGUUUGUAUUUUUCUGAGUGGUUAUAUAUGAUAUUCAAAAGCUUUCUUGUAUUUUAACUAGAGCUGAAAGUUGUUUUCUGACUUUAUAAUGUAUUGACUUCAGCUUAUAAUGAAAGUAGUUUUUCUUUUAAAGCAGUUUUUAUGUCUGUUCUGUAAAAUAUUUACACUUGCAGUACUAUCUUUCAUUGUUUUUGUAAAUAUCAAGUUGCUAUUUCUGAUCAUGUUUUAGAGAUCUAUGGCUUUUUAAAAAUUAUUUUAAUCAAUUUAAAUAGAUGUAGAA